UUUUUGGAAAAAGAUUAUUUUAUUCUCCUACAUUAUUGUUAAGUUUUUUUUAACAAGAAACAUGUCUAAUAUCUUUAAAAACACACAUUUUUCAAUUUAAUAAGCACUCAAAGCUCUUUACCAGUUUAAAAAAAAAUUACAAGGCCCUUCUAAAGUAAGGCUAAAUGCUAAGUGAUGGGGGAGAGAAAAAGGACAUAAACAACUCCUACUCUCAAGGGGUUAAUCACUAAAUCCUAUUUGACUAGAAUCACCUGGCCUCUCCAAACCUUGCAAAUGAAACUGAAUUUCUCACUAGAUACUAGACUAUGACUUGCAGCAAUUGUGAAAACCAAGAAUUGUGUUAUGUCACUGGGUAUUGCAUGUUAUCUGAAUUCCACACUAGGCUGGGAUCAAGGGUUGAAUCUUUCAUGAUUUGCUCCAUAACCUGUGUGCUUCUUAUCCCAGACCCAAGUAAGCUUUCUUCUAGAGUUCUACAAUUUACAGUUAGUAUACAAGAAUGGUCCUCAAAAAUGUAGUCUCUGGACCAGCACCACCAGCAUCACCUGAGAACUUUUUAUAAAUGCAUAUUCUCAGGCCCCACCUUAGACCUGAUGAAUCAGAAACUCUGGAGUAGGGCCUAGCAAUCUGUGCUGCAAUAAACCCUGCAGGUGUUCAGGAACCUCUGGCAUACAGCAGGUAGAAAAAUGUGUUUCCUUCUGUAGGUCCAAAGCCAGGGAUACUGUAUGUUCUGUCUUGAUAUGAAACAAAGACAUGCAAUUAAAAGACAUAAAUCUCCUUCCUACUCCCAUCCUCCAGCUAAUGUGUUUUAUUUUUAUAAGUUAAAUAAGAAAACAAGUGGCAAUCAGAGAUUUAAUCUAAAAAGUAUGUUUACAGAUAUCUGUUCUUAUCCAGUCUGAUCUUAUACAACACCACUUACAUCCUCCUACAUCUAAAGUUUUAGAAAGGGACCUUCACAAUAUAAGUCUAAGGCACACUAGGAGUGUGAUAAUAAAAGACCAAGUAGAUCUGAAUGUCCAAACUUACUAGAGAAGAAAAGUGGAAUCACUGGCUGUAUUUUCAAAUUGCAUUCAACAGGAAAUUAAGGUUUUGAAUUUUUUUCACCUUUGUACUUCCAAGUUAAUAGAAUUAAACCAGAAUACUCCAUACUUCCAAAGCCUCUAGCCAGGCAAAGUUUUACUUUAUUACUUCUUGCUUUUGAUUGAUAUAAAGCAGAGUCCUGGUAGGCAUAUUGUGUAUACUUGCAAAGAUGCAGAACUAAACAGUUGUUAAUAUUAAAACAAAAGUCCUGUAAACCUCAGAUGGUGAGUGUAAUAUUUUAGCACUAACACCAAAGCCUCAAAUAUGAAAAGAUAUCAAAAACACCACUAGCAAACAAAAGUAAACUCUCAGCCGGAAGCAGUAGUUCAUACCUGUAAGCCCAGCACUUUGGCAAGCUAAGGUGGGAGGAUUACUUGGAGUCAGGAGUCCGAGACCAGCCUGGGCAGCAUAGUGAAUUCACAUCUCCAUCUGUCUCCCUUGAUUGCUCGUGGGCUCCUUGAGCAAUGUGCGACCUUGAACAGUGUGUGACACAUACAUGCUUCCUACACAGAGAAGGAAAUGAUUUCGCUACAGUGUCAAUCAUUACCAGAAUUCAAUACCUGUAUUUCUAAAUCGUUCUAGAUACUCUGCCAACAACUUGAGAAUGUUACGCUCUUUCCCUAAAACUUCCAUCCAUUCCAGCCAUAGUUAACUCAAUUGUGACAUGCUCUCUGGCCAAGCCCAUUUGUAGUUUUUUCUUUAGGUGAUUUUUAAUUUUAAUUUUUGAUUUUGAUUGUUUGCUUUUUGGUAUUUUUUAAUCUAGGAGUGUUUGGUAAACUUCACCAUGUCUAUAUGUCUGUGUCUUUGCACCUGGUGGUCUCUGCUUGGAAUGAUGUCUCAAGGUUUUAUUCACCUGGAAAGAAUUCCUACUCACCCUUAAAGACUCAGCUUAAAUAACCCCUUCUCUGGUAAACCUUUACAUUCUCCCAUUCUUUCAGUAAGAGUUGAGAAUUCCUCUACUCUUGAAAUGUUUGUGCCUCUAUUACUAUGUAUCAGGCAGUGAACUAAGCGUCUAGGAUAGAAAGAUGAAACGGUAGAACCUGCCCUCAUGGAGCGCAUGGUCUAGUAUGGAAAACAGCCAUAUGAACAAAUAACCACACUAUAAUAUUAAAUGCAAUACCAAAAGGGAAAUGUAUUGAAUAUUUGACAUGUGUCAAUUACCUUGUUAGAUACCUUAUUAACAAUUAUCUAUGAUCAUAUUAGAUACGUAUUUGAAUUGGACAGAAGGCCAUGAAACUCUAGGACUGCUAGAGUUUGUUAUGCUCUCAAUUGUCUUCUAAAGAAACUGUCUCCUAAUGGUUCUUUCUGAAUAUGCUAUAGUCAUACAACUAUUGUGCAACUGUAGCAUACACAAAAAGCAUAUCUGUAGCAUACUCAUGUGACCAAUAAUGCAUAAAACCAACCUUACUUCUUUGGCCACAAGUAACUGGACCAAGGCUCAGUGUUUCAGCUAAGGACAACAUAUAGGUUGAACUUCAGGGACAAUCGCCAAGGACAUGGCAUGGCUCAAAAUUCUCUCUAAUAGGGGCCUUCCGUUUUUAGAAGGUGACAGGCUAACCCAAUCAGAUAUUCUCUCUUGGAAAAUACAAAUGUUGGGUGAACAAAGGAAAAGAGGGCAGGUUUUCAGAGCUCAAAUCCUAUCCUAAAUACUGCUAAAUUAAUGUUCUGUGAAGUUUUGAAAGUACUAGGGCCAAGAAACAAUAUGGCUACUUAGAUGACUUCCCAUCCAAGUUUACAUUCGGCCCUCAUUACCAAAGGUGAUAAGUGUGUGCCUCUUCCUUGCAACCCAUCAGGGUCUAACACAUCAUAUCGCCACUUCUGAAAUUAGGAAAUAGGCUCAGAAGUCCAAGAGCUUGACCAGAGUAAUUCACUUGGUAGGUAGCAGAACCAGAAUUCAAAGAGCAAGUCGGCGUGAUUCUUCUCCAAUAUCCUGCCAGUUACAUGGGCAAGUGGCCUCAAAAUCAACAAAAGACAAGUAGAGGUUGACAUGUGUCAAUGGAAAGAGGCUCAAAAGGAAGAGUUUGUACACAAGAAUAGAACAGAAACGUUCUGGAAGUAUGUCUGGGGAUGUGAAGUAGGAAGGGGCACACCAGGUUUCACCUUGGUCAAGUGACUGUCUAAUUCCCCCGAGCUCCAGACUCAGCUAUCUGUCUUUCUCACUCUAAUAUAAAAUCCACAGGGCAGGACCUUAAUCUCUAGCUUGUUCACCACAGAUUAAAGCAGAGUCUGGCUUAAUAGUAAGUGCUUAAUAAAUAUAUGAAUGAAUAAAUGAAUGAACAUUCCACAUUGUUGGGGGAAGGGGUUAUCAUGAACCAGACCCUAGCAGUCACUUACAAAUACAGUUGAUCCUCAUUAUUUGUGGAUCCUAUAUUUGCAAAUUUGCUUACUUGCUAAAAUGUGUUUGUAAUCUCCAAAUUAAUACUUGUGGAGCUUUCAAGGUGAUUCAUGGACAUACACACAGUAGUGAAAAAUCUGUCACUCCUUAUGCACGUUCCAAGCUAAGGUCAAAUAAGGUGACCCUGGGCCUCCUUGUUUCAGCUCUCAUACAAAGAUGACCCAAGGACAGAGGCAACAGAGGGCAGUGCAGGGUAGUGCAAGAAGCUCUGGCUCUAGGACUAAUUGGACGAGGUCUGAAUCUUAACUCUGGCACCUGUUAGUGAAGCAGCCUCAAGCAAAUCACUUAAUGCUUCUGUACUUCCUUUAUUGUUUUGUAAAUAAAGAAAAUUCAAUCUACCAAGAUGAGUUGUUUUUAGGAAUUAAGAUUAUAACCUAUGUGAGAUAUGUGUAUAUGUGCAUAUUUUCCCUAGGAACAAGGGUUUAGUAUUUCUUUAAUUCAGUGUUCUAGGCAACUUUACAGAAUAUAACUACUGCAAAUAACGAGAAUUGACUGUAAUUAUAAGGACAUAACAGAGAAGUAGACACAACAAUUAUUUGGAUGAGGUAGAGGCAGGCUUCAAGAAGAUUUUGAAGAAAUAGAAUUUACCAGGCACAUAAGGUAUGGAAAAGGCUUGCAAGGAGAGAGAAUGGCACCUACAGACAGAGGUCCAGAGGGCGGGAAAAAAAGGUCGGUUCAGGAAAUGGCACUUCAGGAAGUCUAGAGCAGUAGAACAUGAGGCCAGACACGGUGCCAUAGUGCUUCUGCACCCUGUGUACACCCUGUACUGCAGAACCUCACUCUCUGCAUUUAAUCUUGGUUUCUAGUUCUCUCUUCUAUUAAACUGUGAGCUCCUCAAGUUCAAAGUCUCUAAGAAAUCAAAGCGAGAGUCCUCUAAAUUUGCAAACAAGUUAUUACUAAACACAAAUACACCCAAAAAGACUGUACAAAAAUAACUUUGGUUUUCAAUUGCAGUCAGCAAUUCACAACUGGUACACAUUUGCAAUUUGUCCAGGGUUUUUCGCUGAUGACUGCUGUAACUCUGUCAUAAACUCUUUUCAUUGUUUCAGACACCCAGACAUUUGUUAGAACAGUUUUAAGAUCUUGCUCUUUUUAGUGUAAUUGAUUGAUUGGUUGAUUGACUGAGAUGGGGUCUCAUUAUGUUGCCCAGGCUGGUUUUGAAAUCCUAGGUUAAAGCAAUCCUCCUGCCUCAGCCCUCCAAGUGGCUGGGAUUACAGGCGCACACCGCUGCGCUGGGCUCUCGUGUGAUUAAUUAACAAGGCUUAAACAUAUGGUCCAUUAGACAACGCUUCCACCUCAGAGUAAAGAUUUCUUUUAAUUCACUCUGACUUAUUUCUCUAUAUGAGAGAUACAAUUUACUAUAGUAAAAUACAAAGAAGCAUAUUGAUAUAUAUGUUACAAACAGGAUAAGGAAAGCAAAAUAAUUUUUUCCACAAAAGCUUGCAAAAUCCUGGCCAAAGCACAAUAAACAUGAUGUUAAACUCACAGCUUACAUUUCUCCACUGAGAGCUAGGAAAAAAUAAUGACAGUUUUUGUAAAGUCACAAAACUAAGCACUGCAAGAAUUUACAAGAUUUUGUAAACUUGUAUAUUCUCCCCAACCCCAUAUACAACUAGCCAAAGGAGCCUAUCAAUCUCACCCCGAUACUUCAAUUUCCUCCAGCCUCCAAAAUAAAACUCUCACUGUCCAAUAUCUCAAUUUAUAUUUUCAAAUGUCUAAAAUCUUAAAAUUAAGAGCAGUGCAUUAGCUUUUCCCCAUAAACAUUUUUGGUAUAAUUUUACUUAGGCACAACAUAGUUUGUACUGUUAUCUAAAAACAUAUGGAUAGAACCAACAUGACUAGAAACCAAACGAAUAUACUAUGAAGACGAAAAGGGAAUAGAAAAUGUUGUUUUUAAACAGAUUCAGUGCUGUUAUUAUCCACUCAUAGGUUGGGUGUGAUCAAAUCACAUUGUGCUGCACAGCUAAGUAUGUCCUAUAUUUUAUGACAAAGUAGGGUAACAAAUUAUUUAUUGAGGGUCUGUUGGGUGCACAGAGGCAUGCUAGAAGCUGUAAAAGAUUUGAUUCUUACCCUCAAUAAACGUGCAAUGUUAUAGACCUACUCCCAAAACAAAUAAUGAGUGACGCUCUCUCAAAUAUAUGUACAAUCAAAUGUGAAACGGAGGUAAAGAUGGGGAAGAUCUUAGGCUCAGAGAUUGUAUUCAGGCCUUUAUGGUGGCAAUCUUGAUAUAAUUACGCAUUUAAAAAUAAAUUGUCAUCAGAUCAGUCUGAAAUUUAUAGAGGCUUUUGUUGGUGAGAAACGUAGUUUACAUAAUUUACCCACAGGAAUGUUUUUGAUUAAUGUUAUCUAUUAAAGACUGCAGUUCACAAUAUUUCCCCUGUUAAUAGUACAUAUGUUUUUGGAGCUGAUCUGGUGAAGUUCUUCCCAGAGUAUCUGUAUCCCGAUUUUCAGAUUCCAUUUCAUCAGUGGGGCAAAUUUACAGGUCAGUAUAGGACAAGUUUUAAGCAUUAAUGGAAAAGAGAUUGUAUUACAUUUAUAUUGUCUUUCUAAUCUGACAGCCCUGAGUUUAAUUUAGAAAAUUCCUCUAUUUUUAAUUUACCUUUGUUUUGAUAUAUUUUACUAUUAGGGAUCACAUAAAUAAUUUUCCUCUUUUUCUUGACUUCCUUGUGAACUAAUACAUUUUCAAAAGCUUCUUGUUAACUUCUAAUUACAGGUAAGUUCCGUUUUCUGUUUGCUUAACAAGCUCAUUGACGUUUCAUUUGCAAGCACCGUUCUUGCGUCAAAUGGAAGAUAACUAAUGGAACAUCUGUGCACAGAGGUCAAUAUAGGAAAGCUUAGCAGAGUGAUUACUUAUUUGUUUUCUGUUAAUGUCCAUGCAGCUGCUCUGGGAAUAAAUGAAAUGCAAGUACAGAGGACAAAAUCAUUCUAAUUAGAGAUUUACCUGGAACCUUUUUUAAAAAUUCUAUAUACAUGUCCUACUUCUCACCCCGCCAAAAGCUCCCCGACCUCCUUUUUUCCUUGAUUCCCCACCAAAUAAUGGAAAAAUCUGAUGGGUUCAUUUACUUAGUAAAAGAAAACCUUGUAAAACAAGGAGACAGAGAAACAAUUUUAGUGCUAAGUAUAACAUGGCAUAUAAAAAUAUGUUCUACAUGAUUUUAAAAGGCUUUAUAAAAUUAUUUCUUGUUGUUUAUGAAAUUAUUUCAAGUCUAUUUGUUUUUUCAAAUCUCACCAUUAGAGACAAAAACUCAAAACGUGCACUGUGAAUAAGGUACAAGCAAAAUUUAAAAACCAAUAAAUUUAUGAAAGAUAUUUUAUAUUUAACUUAAAAAACUUUUCAACUCAAUACUCAAGUAUAUACUGAAAUUACAACUAUUCUUACUUGAAUAGAUAAAUAUGUAACAUUGUCAAAAGCAUUAAGUAUAGUCUGAAGAUGUUUCGGAAGCAGCGAGUCAUGAUUCUGAUUGCAUUUACCCACUUACAACAAGAACUCCAUCUAUAAAGAGCUGCCUUUAACUCAAUCCCUAACCUAAGACCAUUGAUUUGGAGUAAGUAGAGUGGGUCAUUCACUAAUGUACUUAAAAAAACAAAAUCUUGAUUCUGACUCAGAGAUACCUAGGUUAAGUGUACAGGACACAAAGAUUUUGACUGAGGCACAGUGUUAAAGAUUCGUUAAAAUAUUUUGUAUGCAGCACAUGUUAAAUUUUUUCACUAUGGUAACCAUACUUUUUAAGAAACUAAAGCAAAAACUGAAAAGUAAAACAGGGUAAAUAUCAAUACGGUAUGAGUCUGUUUUCACGCCGCUGAUAAAAGACAUACCUGAGACUGGGAAGAAAAAGAGAUUUAAUUGGACUUACAGUUCCACAUGGCUGGGGAGGCCUCAGAAUCAUGGCAGGAGGCGAAAGGCACUUCUUACACAGGCAGUAAGAGAAAAAUGAGGAAGAAGCAAAAGCGGAAACCCAUGAUUAACCCAUCAGAUCUCGUGAGACUUAUUCACUAUCACGAAAAUAGCAUGGGAAAGACCGGCCCCGUGAUUCAGUUACCUCCCCCUGGGUCCCUCCCACAACAUGUGGGAGCUCUGGGAGAUAUAAUUCAAGUUGAGAUUUGAGUGGAGACACAGCCAAACCAUAUCAAGAACAUUAUAUGAAACAUCCUAAAUGUCAAUAAACACAUUGUAUUAAACAUACUAUUUUUCUCAUGUAUCUGUACAAUGGAAUAAUAGGAUUGUUGGGCUCUUCCUAGAUUAUAUGGAUUCUGAAAGAGACAUGUUAAAUCAAAACUAAUUAGGUGAAAA
rnacentral:lncRNA from 10 species